UCACCCCUCAAGCCCCGUGCUUGGUGUUGGACGGCCGGUUGAGCGAUCGACCCCUCCGAAAGACAAUGACGGCGGCCUGUGGUUCCCCCGGUACACUGAGCUUUUCAUCGAGCACGUAUCGGACAAGGGGCCCCCGGGACCCGGUCUUCUCCUCUCAGCAGGAAACUUCUCAA
rnacentral:misc_RNA from 1 species